ACUCAAAUGAAUUGACGGGGACCUGCACAAGCGGUGGAGCGCGUGGUUUAAUUCGUCACAAAGCGGAGAACCUUACCCAGGCUUGACAUCUCUGGAAUUCCCUGGAAACAGGGGAGUGCCGCAAGGAGCCAGAUGACAGGUGCUGCACGGUUGUCGUCAGCUCGUGCUGUGAAGUGUCCCGUUCAGUCGGUUAACGAGCGCAACCCUUACCCUGUGUUAUACAUGUCACAGGGAACUGCCCUAGUUAAUAGGGAGGAAGGUGAGGAUGACGUCAAAUCAGCGUGGCUCUUACGCCUGGGGCCACACACACGCUACAAUGGGAAGUAACAAUGGGUUGCCAAGCCGCGAGGCGGAGCUAAUCCCACCAAACCUUCCCUCAAUUCGGAUUGGAGGCUGCAACUCGCCUCCAUGAAGUCGGAAUCGCUAGUAACGGCCAAUCAGCUACGUGGCCGUGAAUACGUUCUCAGGUCUUGUACACACCGCCCGU
rnacentral:rRNA from 1 species